AUACUUACCUGGCAGGGGCAAUAUCAUGAUCAAGAAGGUGGACCGCCCAAGGCGAGGCUCAGCCAUUGCACUCAGGCUCUGCUGACCUUUGCGAAUUCCCCAAAUGUGGGAGUCUCGACUGCACAAUUUCUGAUAGUGGGGGACUGCGUUCGCGCUUUCCCCUG